rnacentral:misc_RNA from 1 species
GAUGAAGAACGUAGCGAAAUGCGAUAAGUAAUGUGAAUUGCAGAAUUAAGUGAAUCAUCGAAUCUUUGAACGCAUCUUGCGCUCCUUGGUAUUCUGAGGAGCAUGCCUGUUUGAGUGUCAUUAAAUUCUCAACUACACUGACUUUGAAUUGGUGUGGCUUGGAUUUGGGGGGAAAAUUGUUGUGGGCUUUUUGUAUAGUCUGCUCCCCUGAAAUUGAUUAGCGGUACCUUUGUGGAACUGUCUACAGGUGUGAUAAUUAUCUACAUCUUAGACAUCUGCUGGAAUGCUGCUUUCUAAACCUUACUUGUAUUGACAAUCUUGACCUCAAAUCAGGUAGGACUACCCGCUGAACUUAAGCAUAUCAAUAAGCGGAGGA